CAACUGCAGUGUUGUCAAGACAACGGGUAAACUGUCGCCUAAGGAAACAUGGCGGAGCAGCUGAAAAUAAAAAGUGAAGUUGAAGAAUUCAAAAAGGAAUACUUCUACAGAAACAGUGGUGCCAUGACAAAAGCAAUUAAAAUAUCUGAAGCACAGCUGAACUUACGACACAUAGAACCCACAACAAAGGCUACGUACUUCCAAGCUGAGGAGAACAGACAGAGGGACUACCAGGCCGCCAACCGGAUUCAGAGCUGGUUCAGAGCCUCCAAGGUGCGGGCUUACCUCAGCCAUCUGCACAAGAAGGCAAUCAUUAUACAGAGGAUAUGGCGGGGCUUCACAGCAAGGGCACGUUUCAGACAAAUGGUGAAGGCGGCAUAUUUUAUCAUGAAGAUGAAUUUCUACGAGGCGAUGGCGGUCAGGAUCCAGCAGAGAUGGAGAGGAUUCUUUGUGAGGAAACAUAUUCAUAACUACUACGCACGCAAGAGCUAUCUGGAAGGACUUUCCAAGAAAAAUGAACUUGUCAGGAUGGAGCUGGCAGAACUUGAGGAACUACAGAAGAGAGAGAGACACUGUGUGGAGAUGGUAAAAGAACAGACAGCCAAGGUCUACCAAGCACACCGGUUACACCACCUCCUCAGCACCAAGCAGUGUCCAGGGGUCUUCAACUCUCCAUUUAGGCCAGCCCCCCAUGAGAUGGAAAUACUGCUGAGGCAGGUCAAGUACCAGGCCCCCACCAGGCUGGACCCCAGGGGCAGGGCUUGUCUCAUGGGCAUGCUUGGCCCAACAGCCCCCAGUUUCCCUGGGACUCUUGGAUCCCCAUGGAUUAAAACCACUGGAACCUGCUGCUCCUCCAAGCCCAUACUACCCCCUAUUUCCAGCAAGAAACAGCAGGGUCUGUUCCGAAAGCCAGGGGAAGUGUGGGAGCAGCGCAUGCUUUGUCCUGACCUGACAUUACGUCUACAGACCUCUUACACACACCUGGAGGAGGCCCAGAAUCAGCUUCAACACAAGUAUAUAAGACUCCCCACUGGCAAUAUUAGGAACAGGAAGUAUGCUCCACCAUCUGAGGCACAGCAGCAAUUCCUUUACUCAGCCAGCCUACGCCAAGAGCUUUAGAUAGUAGACUACACACUCACUACAAGAGAGGACAGCUGAAGACAUGAAGGGGGAGAGAGAAGGAGAAUGACAUACAGCAAAGGGCCGCAGGUCGUAGUUGGACCCGUGUCUGUUGCGUCUAGGAGUAGACCUCUAUAUAUGGACAUACGCUCUACCAGACUGUUUGCCACCAACAACAUCUUUGAUAAGUGGGCUCCUGUGUACUCCCAGGCAGGCAACAUUGUGUGACACACCUCCUUCUGGCCUGAGAAAAUUGAGAGAAGUACAAAUAAAGAUUGCUUAAUGUAU